rnacentral:rRNA from 1 species
GAUGAACGCUAGCGGCAGGCCUAACACAUGCAAGUCGAGGGGCAUCAUGGCGUAGCAAUACGCUGAUGGCGACCGGCGCACGGGUGCGUAACGCGUAUGGAACCUACCCACCGCAGGGGGAUAACCCGCCGAAAGGCGGACUAAUACCCCAUGGUUCCCCGACCCUGCCUGGGGUUGGGGGUAAAGCCUACGGGCGGCGGUGGAUGGCCCUGCGUGCCAUUAGCUGGCUGGUGGGGUAACGCCCACCAGGGCGACGAUGGCUAGGGGGUCUGAGAGGACGAUCCCCCACACUGGUACUGAGACACGGACCAGACUCCUACGGGAGGCAGCAGUGAGGAAUAUUGGUCAAUGGGCGGAAGCCUGAACCAGCCAUGCCGCGUGCAGGAUGACGGCCCUACGGGUUGUAAACUGCUUUUCCAGGGAAGAAACUUACGCACGUGUUGCGUGACUGACGGUACCCUGGGAAUAAGCAUCGGCUAACUCCGUGCCAGCAGCCGCGGUAAG